UCAUAACUAACUUCAUAUCAUUACAAGUAAUUCUGACAACAUGGCGACUGGGGUGAAAUUUUACAACGUUGAAGUAAACGAUUUUAUUGCCAGAAAACAGACAACUCAUCCAGAAUUGUCUGCGGAUUGGCUUAAAUUAGAAGAGCUGUACAACAAAAAACUAUGGCAUCAACUAACGUUGAAGAUUCAAGAGUUGGUGGAGAAGCCCAGCAUGCAGGAGGCCGAUCACCUCAUCACACUCUACACCAACUUCGUCAGCUUCUUUGAAAACAAAAUAAACCCUCUCUCCCUGGUGGAGAUCAUAGCGCAUGUGAUCAAGCAGUACACCAACAAGAAGGAAGCCAUCGCCUUCCUCGAGAAGAUUGAGACCAAAGUCAAGGCUAACGACGAGGCACUUGCACUUUGUAAGGUACUCCAAGGUCAGAUCUACCUAGAAGACCUAAAUGACCUGGACGCCACGGAGAAGAUCAUCGAAGAGUUAGAGGGCAGCCUGGAGGACGCCGACGGAGUCACACCUGUGCACGGACGGUUUUACAAACUCGCUUCUGAAUACUACAGAGUCCGUGGCCCCCUGGCCCGCUACUACCGCGCGGCGCUGCGCUACGUGGGCUGCGCGGGCGGCGGCUCGGCGCUGAGCCCCGCCGAGCGCCGCGACACCGCGCUGCGCCUCGCGCUCGCUGCCGUGCUCGCGCCCAAUGUCUACGAGCUGGGGGAACUGCUGGCACACCCGAUCCUGCAGUCUGUAGCGGGCACGAGCGACGCCUGGGCGCUGGAGCUGGUCCGAGCGGCUGCUUGCGGGGACGUGGCGCAGUUCGAGAGGGUCAGGGCUUCGGCCCCGCAUCCAGACCUGGCCAAUCCGAAGCCGCAUUUGAGGCAGAAGAUUGCUAUACUGUGUUUGAUGGAGAUGGCAUUCAGCCGCACAUCAGCGGCUCGCAAGCUGACGUUCGCGGAGAUCGCGCGCGAGGCCCGCGUGCCGCACGACGACGUCGAGCUGCUCGUCAUGAAGGCGCUAGCCGAGAACCUCAUACGAGGACAUAUUGAUCAGGUGAACAGCACGGCCCACAUCGGCUGGGUGCGGCCGCGAGCCCUGGGCCGGCCCGGCGCCGCAGCCCUAGCGCGCCGCCUCGACGCCUGGUGCUCCGCCGUCCGCGCCGCCACCGACCUGCUCGCCGGCGCCGCGCCAGACCUGCUCACCGCCUAGUGCCGGGUAUGUCACACCCCGCCCCGCGCCGCCACCGACCUGCUCGCCGGCGCCGCGCCAGACCUGCUCACUGCCUAGUGCCGGGUAUGUCACACCCCGCCCCGCUCCGCCACCGACCUGCUCGCCGGCGUCGCGCCAGACCUGCUCACCGCCUAGUGCCGGGCAUCGGGUUCCAGGGGGCGAAGUAGAGUUAAUUGUAUGGAAUGUUGAAAUCUUACUUCCGAAUACCUUAUUUACUUAUACCUAAUAUUAAAAAUUUAUUGUAAUA